ACUCAAAUGAAUUGACGGGGGCCCGCACAAGCGGUGGAGUAUGUGGUUUAAUUCGAAGCAACGCGAAGAACCUUACCUGGCCUUGACAUCUCCUGACCGCCGUAGAGAUACGGUUUUCCCUUCGGGGACAGGAUGACAGGUGCUGCAUGGCUGUCGUCAGCUCGUGUUGUGAAAUGUUCGGUUAAGUCCGGCAACGAGCGCAACCCCUGUUCUUAGUUACCAGUAUUAAGUUAGGGACUCUAGGAAGACUGCCGGUGUUAAACCGGAGGAAGGCGGGGAUGACGUCAAGUCCUCAUGGCCCUUACGGCCAGGGCUACACACGUACUACAAUGGUAGAAACAGGCUGCUGCAAAACCGAAAGGUCAAGCUAAUCAGUAAAACACUAUCUCAGUCCGGAUUGAAGUCUGCAACUCGACUUCAUGAAGUUGGAAUCGCUAGUAAUCGGGGAUCAGCAUGCCCCGGUGAAUACGUUCCCGGGCCUUGUACACACCGCCCGU
rnacentral:rRNA from 1 species